UUGACCUCAAAUCAGAUAGGACUACCCGCUGAACUUAAGCAUAUCAAUAAGCGGAGGAAAAGAAACUAACAAGGAUUCCCCUAGUAACUGCGAGUGAAGCGGGAAAAGCUCAAAUUUGAAAUCUGGCGGCUCUUUGACCGUCCGAGUUGUAAUCUAGAGAAGUGCUACCCGUGCUGGACUGUGUACAAGUCUCCUGGAAUGGGGCAUCAUAGAGGGUGAGAAUCCCGUCUUUGACACGGACUGCCAGUGCGCCCUGGGUGUGCUCUCGAAGAGUCGAGUUGUUUGGGAAUGCAGCUCAAAAUGGGUGGUAAAUGCCAUCUAAAGCUAAAUAUUGGCGAGAGACCGAUAGCGAACAAGUACCGUGAGGGAAAGAUGAAAAGAACUUUGGAAAGAGAGUUAAACAGUACGUGAAAUUGCUGAAAGGGAAACGCUUGAAGUCAGUCGCGUUGGCCAGAAAUCAGCCUUGCUUCUGCUUGGUGUACUUUCUGGUCUUUACGGGUCAGCAUCAAUCUUGACCGCCGGAUAAAGUCUUUGGGAAUGUGGCAUCUUUUGGAUGUGUUAUAGCCCAUCGUCGCAUACGGCGGCUGGGAUUGAGGAACUCAGCACGCCCGCAAGGGAUCGGGUCCUUGGACCACGUCUUUCGUGCUUAGGAUGCUGGCAUAAUGGCUUUAAUCGACCCGUC
rnacentral:rRNA from 1 species